CCCUCCUUUGGAGUUUUACAGCGAGUCCAGGACAAGGGGAUGCAGGAGGGAGGAUGGUCCAAACUGCACCUGUACUAUUGCUGCUGAAGACAGGAUUUAGGAAAGAAAAAUUUCUGGCAAACUCUGAUGAGGAAGAAAAACAUAUGCUACCCACCUGUGCAAGGCAGUACAGAAUCAAUAUCCUGAGGCAAUUGCAGUUCUCAUCUGUUUCAGGUGGAUGGAGAUAUGCAGUUUGGAAUCAAACUUCCUCAGAGAAUGCUGUCCUUGAAAUAUUUUUGAAGACCUUGGAAUAAGCUUCUGAAGAUCUGCACCUUCUCAAGCCUAUUCAUCUCUAAGAGAGGAUGAAAAUGAAACCCUGUGCUCAGACUUAUUGCUCAGAACUCUAAGCCUCAAAUUGGAAAUCAUAUUGAAACCACAAGUUCAGAUCCAAGCAAGACUAAUUUAUUCUCUUCUUUCUCUUGCCCUAAAUGCUCAAAUGCUGUUUUUCUUUUUAGAAAUAGAUCCUAAAUCAGUAAAACUAAGGCAGUAUAAAUCUUUUGUAUGUGAGAGGAGACUUAAAAUAAUUUUAUUUCCAUUUUCGUUUUUUAGAAGAGGCUUCAAAAGCUUGGUAAGCAAAAUGCUGCAGUGGCAUUUAGUGAUGAUAAGGUGAAUGAUGCUACAUUUCAGGAGUAGACAAAGGCACACCUGAAAUGUCUUGAGAGGAGUGAAAACCCUCAGUACUUCCAGGGUGGGUGGGUGUGGCUCUAUGUGAAAAAUCAGUGAAGAGAGAGAAGUGGCUGAUUCAAAUAGAAUCAGUUUGAGACUUAAAAAGGCCAUUCAGAGUUAGCUGUGGUACCAAAAUUGUUUUGUAAAUGUUCCCAGUGUGUGGCCCCAGGUUAAGGUCUGUAGGCUUUUCAUCUUAGUUCUGUACACAGUACACUUGGUGCCGAUGAGAGUGGUAAGAUAAAUGGCUAUUUAUUUCAGUUUACCAGAGCUAAUCCAUCAUGGUGCAUGUAGCAAUUGCAUUUCUGCACUCCAAAAAGCUUUUAUUUCUAGAGAUGAAAUAAAUAAAUAAGUAGAUGUAGGGAGCUCUCUUUCUCAGUCUUUUCUCCCUGCCUGAUGUGUAAUAAAUGUUUGUUUAUUUUGUUAAAAGUCCAUAAUUUGAAAAUUGCUGUAUUUAGCCCCUAGCCCAUUGCCAGCAUCAAGUGACUGAUAAUGGCAUUGUUCUGGCUGCCAGGAAAUAAAAAUCAGGAUUUCUUUUGAUUUCUUGAUUAAUUGCAAACAAAUGUUUUUCUUCUUAUAGCUCAGCAAAGACAUCACUUCAGAUUGGAAAGGUGGGACCUUUGCUAGUUCCUAUUAGUACCUUUCUGUUGGGAUUGAUUUUUUCUUUUUUGAUGGUUCAGCAAAAUAAAUGAAAAAAUGAUUAAUACUUCAUCAUCUGAAGUUCUCUCUGUACUGGUUAAUAAUUCAACCUAUCCAUUUUAUAUUUGCUCUAGUUUCUCUGCAACUUUCUGCUCAUAUUUCCAGAAAGCUUUGUUUGAUUUUUUUUUUGUUGUUGUUGUUUAUGGUGGAUAUAAAGGCUUUACCAAAGACAAGAUCUGCUCUUUUGUCAGUCAUCUUAGGCAAAUUAGCUGCUUUAAUUCCUAAGAAGACACAAUGACCUAUUUGUCUAUUCUGUAUGCUAUUGCAUAUCAUUAAACCAUUUUGUAGUCUUUACCAUUUCUUUGUCUAGUUAGGUGUAGAUUUUUGUUUGCUGUUGUUAUUUGAUUUGUAUUUAAAAUAUGUUUCUAAUCCUAACACUUUAUUUCCACUUGAUAUUCCAACAAAAGAAAACUACUGAGGACACGUAUUUUUUUUUUUUCUUCUGGAAUUAAAAGAUGGUACAGAGGGAGAGAGGAAAAACCCAUAAACAACAAUACUCUUUCUACAAUACUUCCUCAUACUUUUCUUAAUAAAUGUUAUGAAAGCUCAAAGUAUGUUAAAAUAUUGGAAUCAAAAACCUUUCUGCCUUGAGUCUGGCAGGAGGUGACACCACUACGUUUGAAGAGCACAACUAUGUUUUUAAUUGUUACUGAAGUCUCAAAUUAUAUUGUACAUCUGAAGGAUCUCUUCUAUUGCAUGGUUGUUCUUUCCAAAGCAAAAUAGCAUCUAUUUUCUGUAAUUCGUCUUUGAUUUUCUUAUGAUGCACUCUCACCAAAAUAUUUUAUGCAGGUUACACUGAAAAUGUUAUAUCACAA